CGAUAAGCCAUUGGAGGGGAAGUCUGGUGCCAGCAGCCGCGGUAAUUCCAGCUCCAAUAGCGUAUAUUAACGUUGUUGCAGUUAAAAAGCUCGUAGUUGAAGUGUGGGUGAUCGCUGUUGUGAGACUUCGGUCUCUCGACAGUAAGUCACCCCCUUCCAGUAUCCAGUAGUGGGUAUUCACUUACUUACUACUGUGUGUUGGUCCUUUACUGUGAGAAAAUUAGAGUGUUCAAAGCAGGCGUUUGCUUGAAUAGAUUAGCAUGGAAUAAUAAUUGAAGGCUUUCGUGUUCGAUUUGAUUGGUUUGUUCAUGGAAGCAAGGUUAAAAGGAACAGUUGGGGGUAUUCAUAUUCACUAGUUAGAGGUGAAAUUCUCGGAUUUAUGGAAGAUGAACAAGGCGAAAGCAA
rnacentral:rRNA from 1 species